UACGGAGGGUGCAAGCGUUAUCCGGAAUCAUUGGGCUUAAAGGGUCCGCAGGCGGUCUUUUAAGUCAGUGGUGAAAGCCUACAGCUCAACUGUAGAACUGCCAUUGAUACUGUAAGACUUGAAUUCGAUCGAAGUGGGCGGAAUAUGACAUGUAGCGGUGAAAUGCUUAGAUAUGUCAUAGAACACCGAUAGCGAAGGCAGCUCACUAGGUCUGGAUUGACGCUCAGGGACGAAAGCGUGGGGAGCAAACAGG
rnacentral:rRNA from 1 species